rnacentral:tRNA from 1 species
GGGCCUGUAGCUCAGUCCGGUAAGAGCGCCGCCCUGAUAAGGCGGAAGUCCGUGGUUCAAGUCCACGCAGGCCCA